rnacentral:rRNA from 1 species
GACGAACGCUGGCGGCGUGCUUAACACAUGCAAGUCGAACGCUGAAGCUCAGCUUGCUGGGUGGAUGAGUGGCGAACGGGUGAGUAACACGUGAGUAACCUGCCCUCUUCUUUGGGAUAACGCCCGGAAACGGGUGCUAAUACUGGAUAUUCACUGAUUCUCGCAUGGGGGUUGGUGGAAAGGUUUUUUCUGGUGGGGGAUGGGCUCGCGGCCUAUCAGCUUGUUGGUGGGGUGAUGGCCUACCAAGGCUUUGACGGGUAGCCGGCCUGAGAGGGUGACCGGUCACAUUAGGACUGAGAUACGGCCCAGACUCCUACGGGAGGCAGCAGUGGGGAAUAUUGCACAAUGGGCGAAAGCCUGAUGCAGCGACGCCGCGUGAGGGAUGGAGGCCUUCGGGUUGUAAACCUCUUUCGCUCAUGGUCAAGCCGCAGCUUUGGGUUGUGGUGAGGGUAGUGGGUAAAGAAGCGCCGGCUAACUACGUG